CGCAGUCGCAAUGACGAAGGCAUCGGAGAAACAGCGCCAUUUUUGCUUAGCUAGCGCCUCUGUCGGUGUCUGGCAUUGUGUUAGAAAUCUGAGCAGAAAUUACUUGCAAUAAUGAGGGUAAUUGUGAAAUAUUGGGGGGAAUAAGCCCAUAUAGUGCGCCGUUUGCAUAAGGUGCAUUUGACCAGCUCAAGAUGUCCUCAGAGAUGCUCAGCGUUCCUCCUGGCACGAGCAAGCUCGAUGUGUUGGUGACCAAACUGCAUGAAUUCUUGGCUCAUGCUCCAGAGGAUGAUGAGGACAGACUGGUGACAGAAAGUCCUGAUGGUAUGACAAACAAGGACUGUGUGGAGCCACACUCAACAGACCGAACCCCUCUUGAGCCUCAACAGACCUCAACCGACACCUUGAAGCAGUCUGGAUGUGGUUCCAGGAGAAAACCUUCAGUUGUGAUUAAACACAGUGGACUGGAUGAAUCUGGUGCUUCAAAUGAAAGUGAUGAUGAUGAUGACGGCUUGAUCAUCAAUUCAAACGGUUAUCCUGAUGUAACAAGAUUACCGAAAGGCACUGUACUGGUGAGACCUGAGCCAGUGGAAAAUGUCAGAGAUGACUUCAGAGGUCCUGAAUUCCGUUGUGGAAAAUCUGGCAGUCUGAAGAGAGCUUUUUCUAGGAGACGUGGAGGUGGGGAACACUUGGAGAUUGUUAGCUGUACAGCCUGUGGCCAGCAAGUUAACCACUUCCAGAGGGACUCCUUCUAUCAGCAUCCAGUACUCAAAGUUCUUAUUUGCAAGUCUUGUUUCAAGUAUUACUCAAGUGAUGAUAUCAGCAAGGAUUGUGAUGGCAUGGAUGAACAGUGCAGAUGGUGUGCAGAGGGGGGAAACCUGAUCUGCUGCGACUUUUGCCCCAAUGCCUUCUGUAAGAAAUGCAUUUUGCGGAACCUGGGGCGAAAAGAGUUGUCUGGCAUCCUGGAUGAGGAGAGUAAGUGGUACUGCUAUGUAUGUAGCCCAGAGCCUCUUCUGGACCUGGUUGUCGCUUGUGACAACGUCCUUGACAACUUGGGGCAUUUGUGGCCAGACCACCGCAAGAGGGGCAGGGGCGAGGGAAAAUCUGGACAUUAUGACUCCCAUCCAAGGCAUUCUCAAAACAUUCCCGUGGGUCAUUGGAACCAUAGUGGCAUGGAUGGUCACGUUGUGUUCAACUACAACACCCUUCAAAUUCCAGAGGAGAUGGCCAAAAAGGCUAAAAACCUGGUGGACUCUACAAACACUGUAAACACAACUUUUGUGAAGUUCAUUCAAGGUGGCAUGCAGCAGAAACAGACAACUGAGUUAAAGCUACAAUACUUGAAGACUUUCCAGUCAGUACUGAAGGGUCUGAAGAAGUCUCAGACGGCUCUGGAGGAAGCCCUUUUGGAGGAGUUCAGAGAGAUGGGUUUGCCAAAUGGUGGCGAAAACCCCACGUUUGAUGAUACUGAUGUACCUCAACAAGAACAAGAGGGUUGUGUGGAAAUUGACAUUUCUGAUAAGAAUGGCCUUCAUUACUUAAAGAAAAUUGCAGCUGAACAUUUGGAAGAGAAUGAUUCAGACUCAAAUGGCUUUAUGGAUGAUGGAAGGCCUUCGUCCUCAAUUGAAAUGAAAGGUGUCCUUGGCACAGAGAUAAUUCCCAGACGAGGUAGAGGCAGGCCGCGGAAAAACUCCAAGCCUGGAGAAGAUGCUUGCAACGUGACAAAACAACUGGUGGUGCAAGUUUCACCUGCCCCUGUUGAACAAGAGCCACUCUCUGGCCCCCCAGAGUUGGAGGUGGAAGUGGAGUUGGAGGCAGAGGAGGAAGAGGAAGAGAGAAAAGAAAAAGUGGAGGAACGGGAGGGAGACUGUGAAUCUAUUGAACUUGUAACAGAGGGGGAGUAUGAAUCUGCUGAGGGAAGUGAAUCUCUGGAACUGGAAGAGGAACCAGAUAAUAGACGCUCACCUCGGGUAAAGACCACACCCUUGCGCAGGCCAGGUGAGGGCAAGACCCAGCCGACCCCCUCGGGUGCAGACAGUGAGAGUGACUCGGACCCUGACACCAGCCCCAAUGCUGAAGUGCCUCAAGGAGCUGACGAGGUAGGGCUUGGGAGAGGAACUGAUGACUCUGACUCCGAUGAGGUCCCAGCUGUCCUCCAGCGGGCCGCCAUGACGCGUAGUUCAGACGAAGCCGAGAGUGACGAUGGAGACCAUCGGAGUGUGACCAAGAAAUGCCUAUUCGGCCUGAAGAAGAACACGCCCCUCUCUCCAGAAAGAGUUGUCCGGAAACGCAAGGUGCCAGACCGCUCCUCUGACUCUGAUUCCUCCAGUGACGAUCCGGACCUGCAGAAGGAGAUCAAGACCAUGACCAGGCCCAGGGGGAGGCCUCGGAAGGUUAAGAGAGAGGAUGAACCUACUCCCAGCAAGGAUAGUCCUCAACAUAGGCCCAGGGGCAGACCUCGGAAGGUCAAGAAAGAGGAUGAAUCUACAUCCAGCAAGGAGGGUAAUACCCAGGCAGCCAAGCCUCAAAGCACACCUCAAUCCGAGCAUAGAAUGAAGCAGACGCCAUCCUCUUCCAGUCAAGAAGAGGGGGACCUGGACUCUGAGUCUAGCGAUGUCAGUGGUGACCAGAAGAUCAAGCCUAUCACUGAGGAGGUGGCUUUACUGGGGGCAGCAGCUUUCCACCAGUCGUCCGGCGAUGAAGAGCAGCCCCAGUCUGGGCCUUCUUGGGCAGCAGAAGAUGAUGACGAUCCAGAAAAUAGAAUCGCUAAGAAAAUGCUCUUGGCCCAAAUCAAAGCCAACUACUCAUCGGGGGAGGAUUUCUCUUCAAACGUGGAGUCAUCACAUGAUGAGUCUGACAGGGAAGAGAAGGAGCAAGAAGAUGGGAAAGAUGAAAGCUCAGAUGAGAAUGUGCAUCAGCCUUUCCUGCAGGCUCAUCCUGACAUGACCCUCCAGCAUGGCAAUACUGCUCGUUCUGUGCGUGAUUUCCUGCAAGAAAGGAAUGUCAGUGUUCUGCCAUGGCCAGCGACGAGCCCGGAUCUAAAUCCCAUUGACCACGUCUGGGACCUGUUGGAUCAGAGGGGCACUAUGGAGGAGAAGAUCUACGACCGGCAGGUGGCCAAGCAAUCACUGUCGUUCCGGGUGGUGGACCAGCAGCAGAUACAGACACACUUCACACUGUUUGAACUGACGGGGCUCUACAUGUUUGAGCCAGACCUGCUGGAUGACCCCAACUCUGAGAAGAAGAGCAAGAGGACCACACCCCUGCUGCCCAAGGACAUGGUGCUGGCCAGAGCUGCUGCAGAACUGUAAAGGGCAGAUUGUCUGCUACCAUGAACACAAGUCCCUGCUGGACCACAAAGAGGAGGAGGAGCUCAGUGAGGCUGACCGCAAAACUGCCUGGGCUGAGUACGAGGCAGAGAACGUGAUUUAUUCUAGCUGUGAGAAGGUCAACGAGGCCAUCAAGUCCCUGCAUUCCUUACUGAACCUCUCCCUGGAUGACUAUGUGUUGCGCUUGUGGCAAGAUAACCCAAGUGUAGGUGAGAAGCAGGUGAGAGCCCUGGCCCAGACCUGGAAAACCAGCAAUGACAAGGAGUGAGAGCGACGACAGGCCUUACAUCACGACCUUCUCGCAAAACAACAAUCACUUACAAUGUGCAUCCAGACCAUUUUGGCCAGUAGAAAAAACGAAAUUACCCAUACUGCCACGGUCACCAAUCACACACCAGCUCUAACAGAUUCUGCCAAUAAACUUACACAGUGAGGCAGGAGGGAUGUCUCCAGUCUCAGUCCCCUGUUCCACUAGAGGACGCUCUAAUCUAACCACAGUAACUACAGAGGGUUCUUAGUGCUUAUUCCCCCCAAAGGGGUGACAGAUGGGUGACAAACAACAUUUCCGUUAAGGAUCUACUUUAUUUUACGUUGUAAAUGAAUGCAUGUUCUAUAGCAAAGGUAUUGUUAAACAUAUGUUAUGUUAAAUACAUAUGUUUUGGUAUUUUUCUGCCUUAAAAUUAUUU